UGGGAUGUAGCUCAGUGGUAGAGCGCUGCCAAGCAACUACAGAGUCCUGGGUUCAAUCCCAGCACCAA
rnacentral:tRNA from 1 species